AUUGAACGCUGGCGGCAGGCCAAACACAUGCAAGUCGAGCGAGCGGCGGACGGGUGAGUAAUGUAUGGGGCCUGCCCGAUAGAGGGGGAUAACUACUGGAAACGGUGGCUAAUACCGCAUACUAUCGGAUACCCCAUAUGGGAUUAGCUAGUAGCGGCGGUAAAGGCUCACCUAGGCGACGAUCUCUAGCUGGUCUGAGAGGAUGAUUAACCGCACUGAGACCGCGACACGGACCCGGCUCCGACGGAGGAAGGGGUGGGGCCGAUUGCAAGAUGGGCGCCAGCUUGCUGCAGGCAGCCCGCGUGAAUGAAGGCGGCGUGAGGAUUGUAAAGUAAUUUCAGCGGGGAGGCAUUUCCGCCAGAAAAAGCACCGGCUAACACCGUGCCAGCCGCCGCGGUAAUUC
rnacentral:rRNA from 1 species